rnacentral:rRNA from 1 species
CCCUUAGAUGUUCUGGGCCGCACGCGUGCUACACUGAGUGGAUCAGCGGGUCAGGUUGCGCGAAAGCGUUUCCUAAUCUUUAAAUCCGCUCGUGAUGGGGAUUGACGGUUGCAAUUUUCUGUCAUGAACGAGGAAUACCUUGUAAGCGCGGGUCAUCAUCCCGCGCUGAAUACGUCCCUGCCCUUUGUACACACCGCCCGUCGCUCCUACCGAUUGAGUGGUCCGGUGAGGCUUUGGGAUCUGAGCGGAAAGAGCGUUUCGCUGUUUCUGCUCGGAAAACUCAGUCGAACCUUAUCAUUUAGAGGAAGGACAAGUCGUAACA